rnacentral:rRNA from 1 species
GACAGAGGUGCCAAGCGUUAGGCGGAAUCACUGGGCUUAAAGCGUGUGUAGGCGGACCGUUAAGUGCCUUGUGAAAUCCCAUGGCUCAACCAUGGAACUGCUGGGCAUACUGGCGGUCUUGAGUCACCCAGGGGUUGCCGGAACAAAUGGUGGAGCGGUGAAAUGCGUAGAUAUCAUUUGGAACGCCAAUGGUGAAAACAGGUAGCUGGGAGUGUGCUGACGCUGAGACACGAAAGCCAGGGGAGCGAACGGG